rnacentral:rRNA from 1 species
UACGUAGGGUGCAAGCGUUGUCCGGAAUUAUUGGGCGUAAAGAGCUCGUAGGCGGUUUGUCGCGUCUGCCGUGAAAGUCCGGGGGUCAACUCCGGAUCUGCGGUGGGUACGGGCAGACUAGAGUGAUGUAGGGGAGACUGGAAUUCCUGGUGUAGCGGUGAAAUGCGCAGAUAUCAGGAGGAACACUGAUGGCGAAGGCAGGUCUCUGGGCAUUAACUGACGCUGAGGAGCGAAAGCAUGGGGAGCGAACAGG